GACUAGGGCAGGGAGUGGAGAAACUAAAAUCAAGUUUGGAACCAGGAAAGUAGCAAGUAUUGAGUCAGCAACAUUGGCAAAGGUUACAGCCUCCGCAACAGAAAGUCAAAAAAUGCCAGUACUUUACAUAAACUCUGCCUCGUAUGUGGAAGAAGCAUGGCCGGAACUGACAUACUUCAGUGCACACUGCUAUGGGAAAUGGAGUGAAUGGAGCAUUAACUAAAAGACAUGGCAUCACUUAGACAAAGUACCUUAUUGGGAGGUCAAGAUGGUGAUAGUUAAAGAGGACAUUUGAUUUUAAUAUGCCUCCUUCUUACAACCUCUCAAUGGUGUCUUGCUAAUUUCUGGCAUCGUGGAAAUUUCACCCAUAAAAGCUUUCAUGUAGAACAAUCUGGUAUGUGCUUGCAGCAUCCUGAAAUUAGUAUUUGAAUUUAUUUUGCAUUCAAUGGAAUUAAACCUUUUUGGAGAUGAUUCCAUGCUUUGGAAUAGAAAAAAAAAAGGCAAGAUGAACUCAGAAUAUCUUCUUGUUGCCAGAAAUCAAAAAUGAUUUUAUACUUUCCUGAGCAGUAUCUUAAAAGACAGGAUUUAGUUAAAUGUGGUUCCCAACAGAUAAGUUGUAAUAAUGUAUGCAUCAAUAAAUGAAUUUUAAUUAUAAUUAAUAAAAUUGAGUUGAACCUAUAAAAAACAUGAGUUUAUGAUUAUAUGAAAAAUGAAAAAUUUCAAACUUUACAAUAUGAAAAUUCAAUACAAAAGCAGAGCAAAUACAUUAAACCGUAAUAAGUAAUUAAUUUAGUGAGUAGGUGGAUACUUAGAUCACUUAAAUACAUACAAUAUUCUUAAAUUAUGAUAUACUUAUUUUUCUAUUUGUUUCAGCAAAAAAGGGUGAUUUCAAGAAACAGUGAGUAAGUCAUAUAGCAUCAACAACAUGCAAUAAAAUUAUAGAUUACCUGUAUAACCACAGAAGAAAGCUGUCUACAUAAAUUCAGUCACUAAUCUCAAGUAUAAAACUUCUGAAUAUCCCUAAUAAUUAUAAAAUAAUAAUAGUCAAUUAAAUUGUUAACUGAGGUGGACCACUCUCUAGCCAAUAUUUUACUGAUAUGGAAGCAAAGAUGAGUCAGCCCCAGAUGCUGAAACAAGGCAUAAACUUGGAAAGUACCAUUUAUCUAGUAAGUAAACUUUUAUUUAAGAAGAAUCCAAGACCAACAAACACUGACUCAGGUUUCAGUCUACUUAGAAGAUGUAAACAGAUCCCUUGACACAACAAAUAAUGAAUAGGUCGAUGAAAUAGAAUCUGCAAUAUCAGCUAGUUUGAGAUUAUAUUCUGUUUGAUCUGGGGAUUGAUAAAAUUAGUGGACAUAAAUGAAUAAAACUGUAACCUCAGGGAUAUAUAAAAUCAUAUUAGUAUAGAGAAAAUAAUGAAACAAACAACCCACAGUAUUGAUAUUUUGAAGCAGGCACUCUAAAAAUUUUUGCAUUAACUAUUAUAUUUUUUGUGGUUUAAGGCAUUUGGAGUAUAUAAAAUAAUUUGAUACAUUAGACUAUGACUUCAUUGAAGUGCUUUGAGAUUUGACUAAUUUUGUGUUCAAUAUCUAAAUAUUUAAGGGCUCAAUUCACACAAUUGAUAUUUAAGUACAUUAAUUAUACUAACAAAGUUAAUACUGCUCACUAGAUGCAUGAUGUAAACAAAGGAUGCACAGAAGGAAAUAUUCUUCUUCCUCUUAGUCUCCUAAGACUCUAUACUGAGGACUCUGUCAGGCCUCUGAGCUGAAGCUAAGCCAUGGCAUCCCCUGUGACCUGCACGUAUAUGCCCAGGUGGCCUGAAGUAACUGAAGAAUCACAAAAGAAGUGAAAAUGGCCUGUUCCUGCCUUAACUGAUGACAUUCCACCAUAAAAGAAGUGAAAAUGGCAGGUCCUUGCCUUAACUGAUGACAUUACCUUGUAAAAUUCCUUUUCCUGGCUCAUCUUGGCUAAAAAAGCUCCCCCACUGAGCACCUUGUGACCCCCACUCCUGCCCACCAGAGAACAACCCCCCUUUGACUGUAAUUUUCCUUUACCUACCCAAAUCCUAUAAAACGGCCCCACCCCAUCUCCCUUCACUGAUUCUCUUUUCGGACUCAGCCCGCCUGCACCCAGGUGAAAUAAACAGCCUUGUUGCUCACACAAAGCCUGUUUGGUGGUCUCUUCACACAGACGCGCGUAAAAUUUGAUGCCAUGACUCGGAUUGGGGGACCUCCCUUGGGAAAUCAAUACCCUGUCCUCCUGCUCUUUGCUCCGUGAGAAAGAUCCACCUACGACCUCAGGUCCUCAGACUGACCAGCCCAAGGAACAUCUCACCAAUUUCAAAUCUGGUAAGCGGCCUGUUUUUACUCUCUUCUCCAACCUCCCUCACUAUCCCUAAACCUCUUUCUCCUUUCAAUCUUGGCGCCACACUUCAAUCUCUCCCUUCUCUUAAUUUCAAUUCCUUUCAUUUUCUGGUAGAGACAAAGGAGACACAUUUUAUCCGUGGACCCAAAACUCCGGCACCAGUCACGGACCCGGAAAGGCAGCCUUCCCUUGGUGUUUAAUCAUUGCGGGGACACCUCUCUGAUUAUUCACCCACGUUCCAUUGGUGUCUGAUCUCCACAGGGAUGCCUGCCUUGAUCAUUCACCCACAUUCCCUUGGUGGCAAGUCAAUUGUGGGGACGCCUGCUUUGGCUGCUCACCUACGUUGCAGCCCAGGGCUGCUCCCCACCCCCUUUUCCAUGUCUCUACCCUUCUCUUUAAACUUGCCUCCUUCAAUAUGGGCAACAUUCCACCCUCCAUUCCUCCUUCUUCUCCCUUAGCCUGUGUUCUUAAGAACUUAAAACCUCUUCAACUCUCCCCUAACCUAAAAUCUAAGCAUCUUAUUUUCUUCUGCAACUCCGCUUGGCCCCAAUACAAACUUGACAAUGGCUCUAAAUGGCCAGAAAACGGCACUUUCAAUUUCUGCAUCCCACAAGAUCUAAAUAAUUCUUGUUGUAAAAUAGGCAAACGGUCUGAGGUGCGUGAUGUCCAGGCAUUCUUUUACACAUCAGUCCCUCCCUAUUCUCUGUUUCCAAUGCAACUCAUCCCAAAUCUUCCUUCUUUCCCUCCCGCCUGUCCCCUCAGUCCCAACCCCAAGUGUUGCUCAGUCUUUCCUCUUUCCAACCUUUUCUACAGACCCAUCUGACCUCUCCCCUACUCCCCAGGCUGCUCCUUGCCAGGCUAAGCUAGGUCCCAAUUCUUCCUCAGCCUCCGCUCCUCUACCCUAUAAUCCUUUUAUCACCUCCCCUCUUCACAUCCCUUCCAGCUUACAGUUUCAUUCUGCAACUAGCCCUCCCCCACCUGCCCAGCAAUUUCCUCCUAAAAAGUGGCUGGAGCUAAAGGCAUAGUCAAGGUUAAUGCUCCUUUUUCUUUAUCCGACUUCUCCCAAAUCAGUUAACGUUUAGGCUCUUUCAUCAAAUAUAAAAACCCAGCUCAGUUCAUGGCUCGUUUGGCAGCAACCCUGAGACGCUUUACAGCCCUAGACCCUAAAAGGUCAAAAGGUCGUCUUAUUCUCAAUAUACAUUUUAUUACCCAAUCCGCUCCCGACAUUAAAUAAAACUCC